rnacentral:rRNA from 1 species
GAUGAACGCUGGCGGCGUGCCUAAUACAUGCAAGUCGAGCGAACAGACGAGGAGCUUGCUCCUCUGACGUUAGCGGCGGACGGGUGAGUAACACGUGGAUAACCUACCUAUAAGACUGGGAUAACUUCGGGAAGCCGGAGCUAAUACCGGAUAAUAUAUUGAACCGCAUGGUUCAAUAGUGAAAGACGGUUUUGCUGUCACUUAUAGAUGGAUCCGCGCCGCAUUAGCUAGUUGGUAAGGUAACGGCUUACCAAGGCGACGAUGCGUAGCCGACCUGAGAGGGUGAUCGGCCACACUGGAACUGAGACACGGUCCAGACUCCUACGGGAGGCAGCAGUAGGGAAUCUUCCGCAAUGGGCGAAAGCCUGACGGAGCAACGCCGCGUGAGUGAUGAAGGUCUUCGGAUCGUAAAACUCCGUUAUUAGGGAAGAACAAAUGUGUAAGUAACUAUGCACGUCUUGACGGUACCUAAUCAGAAAGCCACGGCUAACUACGUG